GACACGAUGGCCGAGUGGUCUAAGGUAAGCUCAACGUACCGCUGUCGUGCAUGUGCUCGUGCUAACUCUGCACCAGGCGGUAGAUUUAAGCAGCGCUUACCUCUCUACUACAGAAAUGUGCGUGGGUUCGAACCCCACUCGUGUCA